rnacentral:lncRNA from 1 species
UUCGAUGAUUCUUCAAUUGAAGAGUUAGUACUUAUUUAUAGGUGUAGGCAGCAUAAAGAUUUAUUUGAUUAGAUAAUGUGAGAUUAAUAGACUAGAGAUGGGUGGCUAAGGUUUCUUUUAAGUAGACAUGCGAGGUCUCCUUAACAAUGGAUUGUUGAGAUUUGAUCUAGAGAUCAAAGGUUACUAGAUGGGGCAUUGAUUUUGUGUGGAAGAAAGAAAGAAAGAAAGGGGGU